UAACCUGCCUUGGAGUGGGGAAUAACAGUUGGAAACAGCUGCUAAUACCGCAUAAUAUGUCUGUGUCGCAUGGCACUGGGCAUCAAAGAUUUAUCGCUCUGAGAUGGACUCGCGUCUGAUUAGCUAGUUGGUGGGGCAACGGCCCACCAAGGCGACGAUCAGUAGCCGGACUGAGAGGUUGGCCGGCCACAUUGGGACUGAGACACGGCCCAGACUCCUACGGAAGGCAGCAG
rnacentral:rRNA from 1 species